rnacentral:rRNA from 1 species
UACGUAGGGUGCAAGCGUUAAUCGGAAUUACUGGGCGUAAAGAGCUCGUAGGUGGUUUGUCGCGUUGUUCGUGAAAACUCACAGCUUAACUGUGGGCGUGCGGGCGAUACGGGCAGACUGGAGUACUGCAGGGGAGACUGGAAUUCCUGGUGUAGCGGUGGAAUGCGCAGAUAUCGGGAGGAACACCGGUGGCGAAGGCGGUUCUCUGGGCCUUACCUGACGCUGAGGAGCGAAAGCGUGGGGAGCGAACAGG